AGUGAACGCUGGCGGUAGGCCUAACACAUGCAAGUCGAACGGCAGCACAGUAAGAGCUUGCUCUUACGGGUGGCGAGUGGCGGACGGGUGAGGAAUACAUCGGAAUCUACUUUUUCGUGGGGGAUAACGUAGGGAAACUUACGCUAAUACCGCAUACGACCUACGGGUGAAAGCAGGGGAUCUUCGGACCUUGCGCGAUUGAAUGAGCCGAUGUCGGAUUAGCUAGUUGGCGGGGUAAAGGCCCACCAAGGCGGCGAUCCGUAGCUGGUCUGAGAGGAUGAUCAGCCACACUGGAACUGAGACACGGUCCAGACUCCUACGGGAGGCAGCAGUGGGGAAUAUUGGACAAAGGGCGCAAGCCUGAUCCAGCCAUACCGCGUGGGUGAAGAAGGCCUUCGGGUUGUAAAGCCCUUUUGUUGGGAAAGAAAAGCAGCAGGUUAAUACCCCGCUGUUCUGACGGUACCCAAAGAAUAAGCACCGGCUAACUUCGUG
rnacentral:rRNA from 1 species